AACACCAGCAGUAACUGUCGAUUCGGAGCCGUACAGUUCGCAAGCGACGAUUCCACGAGCAUUGGCCAGGACACCACAACCCCGGGAAAUCGUUCCCAAGAAAGCGGGAGAGUAAUUCCACCAUGAAGUUCCCGCCCCGUGACGGGCCUGGAGAAUCGUUUUCAGCACAUGUUUCAGCUGCACAAAUUUCAAUAAAUGAAGACGAAUAGUUUGGGGGGGGGAAAAAAAAAUCGAAUUACUGAUAGCAAUGGUGUUGGUUGAUAUAUAGAUAGACACUCCCUUUUUUUUUUUUUUUUUUUUUCCUUUGGUUGCGAGGGACCCUGA
rnacentral:sRNA from 1 species